rnacentral:rRNA from 1 species
UAGGGAAUCUUCCGCAAUGGGCGAAAGCCUGACGGAGCAACGCCGCGUGAGUGAUGAAGGUCUUCGGAUCGUAAAACUCUGUUAUUAGGGAAGAACAAAUGUGUAAGUAACUAUGCACGUCUUGACGGUACCUAAUCAGAAAGCCACGGCUAACUACGUGCCAGCAGCCGCGGUAAUACGUAGGUGGCAAGCGUUAUCCGGAAUUAUUGGGCGUAAAGCGCGCGUAGGCGGUUUUUCAAGUCUGAUGUGAAAGCCCACGGCUCAACCGUGGAGGGUCAUUUGAAACUGGAAAACUUGAGUGCAGAAGAGGAAAGUGGAAUUCCAUGUGUAGCGGUGAAAUGCGCAGAGAUAUGGAGGAACACCAGUGGCGAAGGCGACUUUCUGGUCUGUAACUGACGCUGAUGUGCGAAAGCGUGGGGAUCAAACAGG